UUCAGAUGAAUUCAACCUGAAGUACGAAUGGCUUCACCACAACAUGAAACCAGCUGCUGAAUACCAUGUUAGUCCACCUGCCCCCAGAGCUGCUCUGAUUGGUCAAGGUCUGGAGUCCACAGACCUCUGAAGGCGUUCUGUGGUUUCAGGCUCCAAGACCUUCACAGCAGAACCUUUAAGUUCUGGAAGUUUCUGUAAUUCUGAGGCCGAGUCGACACCUUGAACUCUUGGUCAUGUUCCUCUAACCACGACAGGAAGCGUCGUCCUGCUGAAGGAGUCCAUCAGGGAACGAAGCUGCCAUGAAGGUGGACGUGGUCUGCAGGAAUGUUCAGGUGUCCACGUGAAGGCAGGACUCCAGGUUUCCCAGCAGAACAUCAUCCAGAACGUCACCUUCUUCCGUCCUGCUGCUUCUCUCCUCCAGGUUUUUUACUGUGAGAGGCAAAUACACAUGUUGUGAUUGGUGAGGAUGUCGUCUGCACCCCCUGAAACCUGAAUGAUGAAUAUUUGCACCAAAAUCAGUGAAGAUCGGAGAACAUAUGGAGAAUAACAAGUGAAGAACGCAGUUGUUUCAAUCUCAGUGGCCUGAUGUGCACAUUUAAACUAAACCUGACUGAAAUAAAGUCUUGCAC